rnacentral:lncRNA from 1 species
CAAAAGGAAAAAGCAAGGCUGUGGGAAAGAAAGCUCCGUCGUCUUAGCCACGGCCCCAACGACCUGCCUCCCAUGAGGCUUUGUGCAGGCUGGCUAAUGCGCAAGCGAGCUUGGCAGAGCUGGCCGACAAUCCUCGUGUCCUCGGUGCUGCACUGCUCCAGUAGUUACAGAAAUUAGCCACAUCGACAAUCACCCACUGCCUGCUAUCAGAGCCGCGCUAUCCACUGCACAAACAGCAACUGCAGACACCAUCAGGUCCUGCAGCUGCUUCGGCUUGUUCUUGGAGGAAGUACCUGGCCAACAGACUCUGAUCACACGUCCGAAGAAACGGACUCCUCGCCUUGCUUUGAGACGACAAGUCCCAUGCACACGAAAGACAGUUAUGCUCUUCCUGUAUGCAGUGUGACCAUACUGAAUCCUCCAGUUUCUACAGGGCACAUACGGUCCACCAUCAACCCCCUUCUGGUGAAACGACCUAAAUCCAGUAUCACUGCUCACCUCCACUCAUUCAUCCUUUUUUCCCACCUGUGGAACCAACUUCCACAUUCUCUUCAAUCUCAUUCUUCCAUCCACAUCUUCAAGAUAGCUGUUCACCACCAUUGCUGA